rnacentral:rRNA from 1 species
UACGUAGGGGCCGAGCGUUGUCCGGAUUUAUUGGGCGUAAAGAGCUCGUAGGCGGUUCGGCAAGUCGAAUGUGAAAUCUCCACGCUCAACGUGGAGGGGUCAUUCGAUACUGCCGUGACUUGAGUACGGUAGGGGAGUGUGGAAUUCCCGGUGUAGCGGUGAAAUGCGCAGAGAUCGGGAGGAACACCCGUAGCGAAGGCGGCACUCUGGGCCGAUACUGACGCUGAGGAGCGAAAGCGUGGGGAGCGAACAGG